GACGAACGCUGGCGGCGUGCUUAACACAUGCAAGUCGAACGCAGUGGCGAACGGGUGAGUAAUACGUGGGUAACCUGACCUUCAGAGGGGGACAACAGUUGGAAACGACUGCUAAUACCGCAUACUGAAGGAGGGGAUGGCGUCUGAUUAGCUAGUUGGAGGGGUAACGGCCCACCAAGGCGAUGAUCAGUGGCCGGUCGGAGAGGAUGAACGGCCAAAUUGGGACUGAGACACGGCCCAGACUCCUACGGGAGGCAGCAGGGGGGAAUCUUCCGCAAUGGACGAAAGUCUGACGGAGCAACGCCGGGUGAGGGAUGACGGCCUUCGGGUUGUAAAGCUCUGUUAAUCGGGGCGCGGUACCGGAAUAGAAAGCCACGGCUAACUACGUGCCAGCAGCCGCGGUAAUAC
rnacentral:rRNA from 1 species